AGAGCUCUGUCCUGGCCAGGCUCUCCCCAACGCAGACGCGGCGGCCUGCAAGAGAAAUUGAAGCACUGUGUCGGUCGGUGCCCGCCCUGCUCCUGGAGCGGAAAGGGGUGGGCGCGAGCUGGUCGAGGCACCCUCGGAGAGCUGAGGCCCAGCAGGUUACCGGUGGAGAACGGCAGGAAGGCCCCCCGCUUCACGAAGCGGCCUUCGGCAUCCAGGAAGUGGUGUGGGUUGAACUGGCUUGGGGUCUCCCACUGCGUCUUGUCCAGGAGCACCGAGGGUCUCAUGUAGCCUCGGCCGCCCUUAAACUCAAUAUGAGGAUGCCCUUGGAUUUAUGACCCCCUGACUCCUUUCCAGAGUGAUCGGAUUACAGAGACAAAAUGCUGAAACGGGGAAAGCAGGAGUUGAAUUUGUGUGCGUCUUCCCAAAAGCCAUGGCUGGGCCUACAGAUGUCUGCUCCUCAGACUCAGCCCUGAGGGCUGGGCUAGAACCAGGUCCCAGAGCAUUCGAAACAAACACACAGCAAUGAACAACACUCCCCAACCUAGGUCACUUCCAAAUCUGCUCCCUUGGGGACAAGCCCAUCUUGGCUUCUUGCAUCUCCUACUGGCUUCCCCUGUCUGGGCUGGCACAGGGAUACCAUCCAGGCUGCGAGGUGACAGAGGCCUGCUCACCCUACCUCCGUCAGCGCCCGGUCCUGUUGGGUCACACCCAGCAAAUGCAAGUUCCCCAGGAAUGGCAGAGGGCGAGGCCCAGGGGGCCACCGAGGGGCCAGGGUGGGGUCCCGGGCACAGCCCCGGAGCAGCCCCCAGAGCCCCAGGAGCAGCAAGAUCCCCCAGACACCCAGGAGCAGCAGACCCAUGUGAAGCGCCGGGUAGCAAAUCCUCAGCUCUCCAGGGGCCCGGGGAACCCUGCCUUAUAGCCAUCCUCCCCAGGGCGUGCCGGCACCCCAC